CACACGUCACACGACAAUAUAUAUAAGACUGGUCAUCCCUAUUAGACAAUUCAUUUCUAUGUAAUAACUGCGUCAGGCGUACAGAAUGAAGAUUGUAUAUUUAUUUGCUACACUAAUGCUGUUCUCUCAAUUUAUGGGAAACAGUGCUUACCUUUCGGGAAUCUCACCAUCUACUACAACUCCUAAGCCUUGGAGUAAAAAAAUAAGUGAUGGCCUGGGGAAGUUUUUCCAAGGUGCUGCAAUUCUAGGCGCGGUGCAGGAAGCGAUCAACAAUGGAAAAAGAGGCAAACAUAAGUCGUUCCACUCAAGUAGCUCUAAGAAUUAAAUAUUUAAGUUUAUUUGUUGCGAUUUAAUAAAUUUUACUCAAUUUUGUAUGAAUCAGUAUUAUUUGUAUGUUUUCUAGAGGAGAGUAAAAGAUUUAACACGCA